GCGGGAAUAGCUCAGUUGGUAGAGCACAACCUUGCCAAGGUUGAGGUCGCGAGUUCGAGCCUCGUUUCCCGCUCCA
rnacentral:tRNA from 2 species